CCUUUCCUACGGGACGCAGCAGUGGGGGAUAUUGCACAAUGGGGGAAACCCUGAUGCAGCAACGCCGCGUGAGUGAAGAAGGUCUUCGGAUUGUAAAGCUCUGUUCUUGGUGAAGAUAAUGACGGUAGCCAAGGAGAAAGCUCCGGCUAACUACGUGCCAGCAGCCGCGGUAAUACGUAUGGAGCAAGCGUUAUCCGGAUUUACUGGGUGUAAAGGGAGCGUAGGCGGCUCUGUAAGUCUGAUGUGAAAAUUUGGGGCUCAACCCCAAACGUGCAUUGGAAACUGCAGGGCUUGAGUGCCGGAGA
rnacentral:rRNA from 1 species